rnacentral:rRNA from 1 species
CAGCCGCCGCGGUAAUACCCGCGCCCCUAGUGGUGGUCGAUAUUAUUGAGCCUAAAACGUCCGUAGCCGGUCUUUUAAAUCUUUGGGCAAAUCGGGCAGCUUAACUGUCCGACUUCCGAGGAGACUGGAAGACUUGGGACCGGGAGAGGUCAGAGGUACUUCUGGGGUAGGGGUAAAAUCCUGUAAUCCUGGAAGGACCACCGGUGGCGAAGGCGUCUGACUAGAACGGAUCCGACGGUGAGGGACGAAGCCCUGGGGCGCAAACGGGAUUAGAUACCCCGGUAGUCCAGGGUGUAAACGCUGCGGGCUUGGUGUUGGGGGUCCUUCGUGGGCGCCCAGUGCCGGAGAGAAGUUGUUAAGCCUGCUGCUUGGGGAGUAUGUCCGCAAGGAUGAAACUUAAAGGAAUUGGCGGGGGAGCACCGCAACGGGAGGAGCGUGCGGUUCAAUUGGAUUCAACGCCGAAAAACUCACCAGGAGCGACGGAUAUAUGAAGGUCAAGCUGAUGACUUUACCUGAUUUUCCGAGAGGUGGUGCAUGGCC